rnacentral:rRNA from 1 species
UACGGGGGGAGCUAGCGUUGUUCGGAUUUACUGGGCGUAAAGGGCGUGUAGGCGGCCUUGCAAGUCGGGCGUGAAAUCCUCUGGCUCAACCAGAGAAUUGCUCCCGAAACUGCUAGGCUUGAGUAUAGGAGAGGAAAGCGGAAUUCCUGGUGUAGCGGUGAAAUGCGUAGAUAUCAGGAAGAACACCAGUGGCGAAGGCGGCUUUCUGGCCUAUUACUGACGCUGAUGCGCGAAAGCCGGGGGAGCGAACAGGAUUAGAUACCCCCGUA